rnacentral:rRNA from 1 species
UGUCACCUACGGGGCGCAGCAGUGAGGAAUAUUGGUCAAUGGGCUUACGCCUGAACCAGCCAAGUCGCGUGAGGGAAGACUGCCCUAUGGGUUGUAAACCUCUUUUGUCAGGGAGCAACGCCGGCUACGUGUAGCCGGACUGAGAGUACCUGAAGAAAAAGCAUCGUCUAACUCCGUGCCAGCAGCCGCGGUAAUACGGAGGAUGCGAGCGUUAUCCGGAUUUAUUGGGUUUAAAGGGUGCGCAGGCGGUUUGUUAAGUCAGCGGUCAAAGCCAGGGGCUCAACCCCGGCCCGCCGUUGAAACUG